AUUGAACGCUGGCGGAAUGCUUUACACAUGCAAGUCGAACGGCAGCACGGGGCAACCUGGUGGCGAGUGGCGAACGGGUGAGUAAUACAUCGGAACGUGCCCAAUCGUGGGGGGAUAACGCCGCGAAAGCGGCGCUAAUACCGCAUAUGCUCUGAGGAGGAAAGUGGGGGACCUGCAAGGGCCUCACGCUCUGGGAGCGGCCGAUGUCCGAUUAGCUAGUUGGUGGGUAAAGGCCCACCAAGGCGACGAUCGGUAGCUGGUCUGAGAGGAUGAUCAGCCACACUGGGACUGAGACACGGCCCAGACUCCUACGGGAGGCAGCAGUGGGGAAUUUUGGACAAUGGGGGCAACCCUGAUCCAGCCAUGCCGCGUGCGGGAAGAAGG
rnacentral:rRNA from 1 species